rnacentral:rRNA from 1 species
UACGGGGGGAGCAAGCGUUGUUCGGAAUUAUUGGGCGUAAAGAGCUCGUAGGCGGUGUGUCGCGUCGGCCGUGAAAACCUGCAGCUUAACUGUGGGCGUGCGGUCGAUACGGGCAUCACUGGAGUUCGGCAGGGGAGACUGGAAUUCCUGGUGUAGCGGUGAAAUGCGCAGAUAUCAGGAGGAACACCGGUGGCGAAGGCGGGUCUCUGGGCCGAUACUGACGCUGAGGAGCGAAAGCGUGGGGAGCGAACAGG